UUACAGCUGUGAUCUGCAGUUGAAACCUCCAUGUCCCCUAACAAAUAACUUUCCUGAAAACAAAGAGGUGCCUUCUACACUGUAUAAAUGAUUGCAGCCAAAGUGAAAUUCCAACAGUGACCCCUACAAUUUAAAAAUAAAAGGCAAUAUUUGUAGACUUUGGAUAAAAUCCAGGCAAAAUUAAGCAUACUUUUAUGGGAGAUUUAUAACUCAGUCCUAUGCAUAGUUACUCAGAAGUAUGUGUAUGUAUUGUAUCUUAUAACUCUCUCAUUAACAUCAAUGGGACAAAGAACUUGACUUUGGCUGGAUUAUAUUCUUUGUGUGUACAAAUCUCUUUUAAUUGUUGGGUUGCAGCCCCUGGGCUGGUUUUGCAUUCAUCUCUGCAUUAAGCCCUAAUGCACUUAUAAAUAGGAUCACAAUGCAGAAGCAUUUAAAAUAUUAAACCAUUGGAGAGCUGGAACAUAAUAUGGGGAUUGGUCUUGCUGGGAGAACUCAUUGGGG